GCCUGCAGAAACUUGGCAAUGACAGGCAUAUAAUAGGCUUUAGUUUCUAAAAGAGUUAAAUGGCAAUAGACCACCACUAUUUGGAAUGUUAAAUGUAUGCAGAGCAAAGUGGACAUGAAUGGUUUUAACUUUGACAAAUAAAUGCUUGGUAAAGUAGGAUAAAAAAUAAUUUGUCAUAAAUAUAUUCUCAAACCUAAAACCAGCAG